AUAAUAGCAAUGAUAAUGAAGAGUAAAUAGAAUUUUAAUUUAAAGAGAUCUAGGGAGGGUGUAAUCCUAGAAUUUAAAACUAUUGAAGGAAGCUUUGGAGUGAUAAAUAGAAAGCGUAAGCGUAGUAUAUUUAUGGGGUUAUUCCCUUAAAGAUAAUUAAGAGGGUUAAAUUAGGUUUAUUAAUAACAAAAGUUAAUAUGCUUAAAUUAAUCAAUUUAGGUGGUAACGCGGAAGUCAGCCUUUCGUCCUAAUU
rnacentral:ncRNA from 1 species